rnacentral:rRNA from 1 species
UAACCUUCCGUAGGUGAACCUGCGGAAGGAUCAAUUAGCCGAGUUUUCGAGCUCCGGCUCGACUCUCCCACCCUUUGUGAACGUACCUCUGUUGCUUUGGCGGCUCCGGCCGCCAAAGGACCUUCAAACUCCAGUCAGUAAACGCAGACGUCUGAUAAACAAGUUAAUAAACUAAAACUUUCAACAACGGAUCUCUUGGUUCUGGCAUCGAUGAAGAACGCAGCGAAAUGCGAUAAGUAAUGUGAAUUGCAGAAUUCAGUGAAUCAUCGAAUCUUUGAACGCACAUUGCGCCCCUUGGUAUUCCGGGGGGCAUGCCUGUUCGAGCGUCAUUACAACCCUCAAGCUCUGCUUGGAAUUGGGCACCGUCCUCACUGCGGACGCGCCUCAAAGACCUCGGCGGUGGCUGUUCAGCCCUCAAGCGUAGUAGAAUACACCUCGCUUUGGAGCGGUUGGCGUCGCCCGCCGGACGAACCUUCUGAACUUUUCUCAAGGUUGACCUCGGAUCAGGUAGGGAUACCCGCUGAACUUAAGCAUAUCAAUAAGCGGAGGAA